rnacentral:rRNA from 1 species
CGUGAGUGAAGAAGGCCUUCGGGUUGUAAAGCUCUUUCAGGUGAAAGAAAUCGCAUCUUUUAAUACAGGGUGUGGAUGACGGUACCAUCAGAAGAAGCACCGGCUAACUACGUGCCAGCAGCCGCGGUAAUACGUAGGGUGCGAGCGUUAAUCGGAAUUACUGGGCGUAAAGCGUGCGCAGGCGGUUAUGUAAGACAGAUGUGAAAUCCCCGGGGCUCAACCUGGGAACUGCGUUUGUGACUGCAUAACUAGAGUACGGCAGAGGGAGGUGGAAUUCCGCGUGUAGCAGUGAAAUGCGUAGAGAUGCGGAGGAACACCGAUGGCGAAGGCAGCCUCCUGGGCCAGUACUGACGCUCAUGCACGAAAGCGUGGGGAGCAAACAGGAUUAGAUACCCUGGUAGUCCACGCCCUAAACGAUGUCAACUAGUUGUUCGGUGAGGAGACUCAUUGAGUAACGCAGCUAACGCGUGAAGUUGACCGCCUGGGGAGUACGGCCGCAAGGUUAAAAACUCAAAGGAAUUGACGGGGAC